rnacentral:rRNA from 1 species
CACGUAGGGUGCGAGCGUUGUCCGGAAUUAUUGGGCGUAAAGAGCUCGUAGGCGGUGUGUCGCGUCGGCCGUGAAAACCUGCAGCUUAACUGUGGGCUUGCGGUCGAUACGGGCAUCACUGGAGUUCGGCAGGGGAGACUGGAAUUCCUGGUGUAGCGGUGAAAUGCGCAGAUAUCAGGAGGAACACCGGUGGCGAGGGCGGGUCUCUGGGCCGAUACCGACGCUGAGGAGCGAAAGCGUGGGGAGCGAACAGG